UACGUAGGGAGCAAGCGUUGCCCGGAAUCAUUGGGCGUAAAGCGCGCGUAGGCGGCCUCAUAAGUCCGUUGUGAAAGUCAAAGGCUCAACCUUUGAAAGCCGAUGGAUACUGUGAGGCUAGAGUCCGGAAGAGGCGAGUGGAAUUCCUGGUGUAGCGGUGGAAUGCGCAGAUAUCAGGAGGAACACCAAUAGCGAAGGCAGCUCGCUGGGACGGUACUGACGCUAAGGCGCGAAAGCGUGGGGAGCGAACAGG
rnacentral:rRNA from 1 species